rnacentral:misc_RNA from 1 species
AAAAAGAAUACAACCCUGCUUGUCUCUACAGCCAACAUUUGUGAUCCAGAAAAUGACGAUAUAAAAAGCCAAAUUGCAUACCCAAUAAUUGAGAUAUGCAGGAAAGUAUACACAUGUAGUUUGUUGCUUAGUCCAGAGAAUAAUGAAUAAAUGUUCUAUGGCAAAAGUAAAUCUAUAAAUCAAAAGCAUACAACAAGCCAAGCCCUGAAGCUAUAUAUAUAUUUAUUUUAACUUCUGUGUACCUUAUCCCUUUGCAGCAGAACUGCACAGAUACCAUGGUUCUGACAAAGUGUUCCCUUGUAGCCUCCUAGAUGUAGCAUAAACUAGAAACCAGCCCAUCCAGCAGGUUGAG